rnacentral:rRNA from 1 species
AUUGACCUCGGAUCAGGUAGGGAUACCCGCUGAACUUAAGCAUAUCAAUAAGCGGAGGAAAAGAAACCAACAGGGAUUGCCUCAGUAACGGCGAGUGAAGCGGCAACAGCUCAAAUUUGAAAUCUGGCUCCUUCGGGGUCCGAAUUGUAAUUUGUAGAGAGUGCUUCGGGCGAGACCUCGGUCUAAGUCCAUUGGAACAUGGUGUCAUAGAGGGUGAGAAUCCCGUAUGCGACCGUGGCUCGAGCCCAUGUGAAGCCUCUUCGACGAGUCGAGUUGUUUGGGAAUGCAGCUCAAAAUGGGUGGUAAAUUUCAUCUAAAGCUAAAUACUGGCUGGAGACCGAUAGCGCACAAGUAGAGUGAUCGAAAGAUGAAAAGCACUUUGGAAAGAGAGUCAAAUAGUACGUGAAAUUGUUGAAA